rnacentral:rRNA from 1 species
AUGAACGCUGGCGGCGUGCUUAACACAUGCCAGUCGCACGAAGCACUUUAUUUGAUUUCCUUCGGGACUGAUUAUUUUGUGACUGAGUGGCGGACGGGUGAGUAACGCGUGGGUAACCUGCCUUGUACAGGGGGAUAACAGUUGGAAACGGCUGCUAAUACCGCAUAAGCGCACAGCAUCGCAUGAUGCAGUGUGAAAAACUCCGGUGGUAUAAGAUGGACCCGCGUUGGAUUAGCUAGUUGGUGAGGUAACGGCCCACCAAGGCGACGAUCCAUAGCCGACCUGAGAGGGUGACCGGCCACAUUGGGACUGAGACACGGCCCAAACUCCUACGGGAGGCAGCAGUGGGGAAUAUUGCACAAUGGGCGAAAGCCUGAUGCAGCGACGCCGCGUGAGCGAAGAAGUAUUUCGGUAUGUAAAGCUCUAUCAGCAGGGAAGAUAAUGACGGUACCUGACUAAGAAGCACCGGCUAAAUACGUG